rnacentral:lncRNA from 1 species
CUGUGUCCUAACAACACAGUCCUGGGGACCUCUGGAACCACAUCUCCCUCCACAGCCUUGGCUAUUUCAAAGAGAUCAUUAACAAGGUGAAGGGCAUGGACAUCAGAUUGUUCUCCCCUCAGUCUUCAGUUUUUCAGCUAAGUUCUGACAUGACGACACAGACUGAACACCCUCAGACACCAGGCAAGACGAAAUCUACAUAAUAGCAAAGUGCUGGGCACACAGAAGGACAACGUGAUGAAGCGCCAUCACAUGGCUGGUAGCCUGUGGUGAGUCACCGGACUUCUCGACUCCCACCUCACUAGGGUGGAAGGAACAGUAACCACAACGCUCUGCAACUCGGGCUGCGCCCGCAUGAUUGGAAACAAUCUGUGAAAUUGUGGAGUGAACAACCCCGAAGAAAUAGACUUCUAAUUCUAGCCUUUUGGAGAUUAUUAACCCAACUCCCAGAUUCUACAGAUGAGAAAAGGGAGGCCCAGGGAGGUGGAGAAACAUGUGUAGGAUCACAGAGGUGAAAAAUGAGUGUUUGCUUGGCUAAGUUCAACUGUACCUACUUGUCUCCAGAGACUGCUCAGGAACUAGAACACCCUGAUACAACACAGGCACUUGUGAUGGAGAUAUUCCAUCAAAAGUGGAAUAGGGCAUGAAGGAGAAUUAUCUCCUAAAAGCUGGGAAGUUUCUCCUAAUCCUUUUUAGGGUGUCUUCCCUGUAUCCCAAAUGCUCUUCAACUGCCCAGGGCUCACGUCAGUCUCCAAAGAACAGUGUCCCAAGUAGAGGGGAAUGUGUAUGAUGCCACGUUGGCUGAAGUGUGCUCUAAUUGCACAGAUAUUCCCAUAAAUGCUAUUUUAUUAAGCUGAGCUACACUAAAUCUGUCAUAUCCAUAAGUAACACCACAGCGAAUCUGUAGAUGCCUUCAGCUCUCCAAAACAACAGAAAUGAUCAAAGAUGGAGGCAAGAAGACCAGAGAACCCUAAAUGUUUACUGUCUCCAGUGUGUUUGGAAACAGCUUGGACCAGUGUAGAGUGCUGGAACAGAGAGUCAAGAGCAUCAGGUUCGAUUCCCACCCUUACAAACUGCUCAGCCUAUGGAAAUUACUUUAUGUUUCAGGCCUCACUCUUGCCAUCUUUAAAAUGGCGACACAUGUACACACCCCUCCACAGUAAAUACAGAGGUCCUGCAAGCCAGGAUGUUAAGUACUUAGGAUGAAAAUGAUGACGAUUAAGUCUAUUCUAUCACUUGAUCUGAUUCUCUCUGACUAGUCUGCAGGGGGUAAUAACAUGGCCUGCAGAUGAUCCAUAAUCCACCAUCUUCUGGUGAAAAGAGAGGAAAGGGGGUUAAUGUGUGCAUGUACAUAUAUAUAUACACACACACACACACACAUAUAUAUACACACACACACAAUUGUAUACACAUUAACAUUAAUGUGUAUAUAAUGUAUAUACAUUUUAUAUACGUAUCAGUGUUAAUAUAUAAAAUGUAUAUAUACAUUUUAUGUAUAUAAUGUAUAUACCUAACAUAUACAUAUACAUCUAUAUAUAAUUUAUAUAUAUUAUAUAUAUACACACACAUUAACCCCCUUUCCUCUUUUGCCACCAGAAGAUGGUGGAUUUUAUAUAUAUAUGUGUGUGUGUGUGUAUGUAUACAUUAUAUAUAUGCAUUAUACAAUAUAUAAUGUCUCUAUGUACAUAUAAUGUGUGUAUAUAUAUGUAUUAUAUAUAAUGUGUGUGUCUGCCCCCAAAGAAAUUUAAAAUAAGUUGAUAUCUAAACACAUUGUUGAUGAACAAGGGCGACUAAUUAUCUACUUGCGGUAGAGAAGUCAGACUAUUGCAAAUGUCUUAGCACUUCAUAGUAUAUUAGGAAAUUUCUAGAGCGAGCUGGCAAUGUUUAAAUCAGAUUCAGUCCCACAUAUUGCACUCCAAAAUUGAACACGGGCUACCAUGUCUGGGACAAAGCUGAGAGCAUUCAGAGGAGGCUGCCUCUGAAGGGACAAAAUUGGAAUGCAUUUGCUUUAACACACAGGCUUUAAUUAGUUGUUACUCAUUAGAGGAAAUUACAUUUCAUAGCUUCUAAGAAAUAAGGCAAACUUUUUCAAAAUUUGAUUCCAUAUCCAGGAGAAUCUCUCUCCACAGCUUUUUCAUUGAAUCAUUGUAAAGUCUUCUCUUGCUUUUGUUUGUUUAUUAACUUGAGAGGAAAACUGAGUUUGGAAAAGGAUGUUGGAGGGACGCAAGUCACAAGAAAGGUUUUCUAGACCCAGGGAAAAUAUGCUUGAAGAAAAAUGUCUCCAACUGGGGUCAGCAGACAUUAAAUUACAGACAUGUGCAUGAUUUGUCCAGAUCGGUUAGAGCAUGUUUCUUUGCAGCAAUAAAAAACAAGAGACAUUAACAAGCCAAUUAUGUUACAUGGAAUUAAGUAGCAUUCAAACGAUGAAAGAGAAAAUUAAGGAGCUAACCUUCCACUGCCCAGGCAGUUUGCACGGUCAGUAAAAAUGCAAGGCUUCAUUUCCACCAUCCAUGCCUUCAAUAGGAGAAGUAACUCUGGUGGCCCAUGACCAUCAUAUGCCCUUGGUCAGCUGUCCUGUCAGGACCUACCUGAUGGCCUUGGGUGACUUAAAUGGCCAGCUAAAUGCAAUAUGUUUUGACUGUGAAUCUUGCCUCUCAUGGCGGUUCCCUGUCACCUCCCUGAUGCAGGCAAUGCCAUAUAUCACUGCUUUUCUGCAGGCGCGCCACCCAGAUAGCAUCUGAAAGAUUGUAAACAGGAUGAUUCACAAACUGGUGGCAGCAGCUAAAAGCAGUGCAGUUCGCGACCCUCAGCACACGCCAAGAUUCUAAAUGGGAUGUUGCGACAACAAAGCAGCCUGAAGAUUCUAAAACAUAAUGGUGUCACCAGGACAUUCACAGGGUGCUGUAACCUGUAACUGACAAGCAUACUCAUCAUCAUUUCUCCUUGGGCAUGCUGCAUCCUUGCGCUCCACUGGGCCUCCUGUUGCAUUGCUAUUUAUUUGCAUCUACAAGCAGGGGAGCAAGUAUGCUGCGGAAAUAGCCCCAGAGAGGUGUCUGAUUCCCAUAGGCCCUUGCAGCCAGCUACAACUGAAUGAUUUCCGAUAUCAGUUACUGAAAAUUCUGACCAUGAUAUGCAGACCAUGGCAGAUCUUAAUGACAAUAACAUCAUCUCACAUUUUGAUGGCGUUUAACAGUUUACAAAGUGCUUUCACAUACAUUAUCACAUUUAAUCCCAGUGAGGUCGAUAGUCUUCUUCUCCAUUUUAUUGGCAGCUUGGUGUAGUGGAAAGAGCUGUGGAAUCAGACAGACUUAAGUUCAGAUUCUGCCUCUGACUACCAAACCAUGGACAAUUUGCUUCAUUUCUCUCCCUUUUCUUACCUAUAGGAUGAGGAAUCAUUUCUAUUUCCGAGGUUUGUGGUGAAAAUUAAAUAACAUAUGUAAAGACAUACAAUAUAGGGCCCGAUGCAUAGAAGUACUCGAUAACCAUUAGUUUCUGUCCACUUACAGAGGAAGAAAAUGAAGCUUAAGAGGUUAAGGGAGUUGCUCAAAGUAAUAGCUAGUAAAUGGCAGAACUGAGACUUCAUUUAUUUUACAAAUAUUAUUGAACACCUACUAUAUGCUGGUGCCUUGGGCAUAGGAAAGUGGAUGAGUCAUAAUUCUAGUUUUUGAGAUGUUCACAGUAGAGCGGUGGAAUCUGAAAUGCAAAUAAUCAAUUAUAAUCGAGCGUAAUCUGAGAGGCAAAAAGUACUUAGGGAAUAUCCUAAAGCCAUGGGUGCACCCUAGAGUAUCUACACAAGAGAUAAGUCUGAGGAAGAGGAACCUUCCAGGAGGCAGCAGUAGAGUUACACCUGAAAUAAAAUGUUGGCAGGUGGAUGAGGGUGAGCAAGGAGAGGAGCAUUCAGGCGAAGACAACAGUGUGUGCAUUCAUCAGGAGGGUCAAAGGAGCCUGGCAUGUCCACUGCAGCACAGAAGAGAACCUGAGCAGACAGGAGAGAGAAGGGAGAGGAGGAGGCAAGGAAGCAGGAGUGAGAAGAAUGAAGGGGCUUGCAGGUAAUGCUGAGAAGCGUGCAUCUUUGUCAGUCCACACUGGCACAAACUCUGUGAUGAUUUACAGAGAGAGCCAACCUGGUCAGAUUUGCAUUUUUGAAAUUGUGGCAGCAAUGUGAAAGAUUGACUAGAGGAGGGGAUAAUGGAGGCAGUAGUUCAAUGAGAGAUAAUUAGGCUAUGAACUAAGAAAGUGGCAGAGCAGACAAUUUCAAGCGGUAUAGCAGAGGCAGAAUUGACAGGAUGUGGCCAUUAACUGGAUGUCAAGACAGGAGAGACAGAGAGAACUCUAGGAGGACUCCCAGGCUAUGAGCUUUGGUGGCUGGGCGAACGAAGAUGUCCCCCACUGACGUAGAAGGAGAGGACAUUUGAAGAGAUGAUAAUAAAUUCAUGUGGACAUGUUGACUCUGAGAGACUCAUGGAUAUCAAGAAGGAGGUGUUCAGUAGACAGCUAAAAAUAUGAGUCUGGAGUUUGGGAGAGGACUCACAAUUAGAUGCAUUGAUCUAGGGAUCAAUGGUUUUUAGACAAUGGUUGAAGCUGUUUUUUUAUGCCAAGAGGAUAGAGCAAGAAGAAAAGUGGGUCCUGGAGAACUCUAGGGAAUAUCAAUGUUUAGGUGCUAGAAUGAGGAUUGUUGGAGAGAUGGAACUACCAGGAGAAAGGGAGAGCUCAGAGGCCAGGGAAGGCAAGCAUUUUUUGAUGAUGAAAGUAGAGGAAAGUAUCAAAUUCCACCAAAGGAUCAAAGAAGAUGAGAACUGAGAUAUGCCUGGCAUUUGGGCAAUGAUAAGAUCACUUUGGCAACUUCAGUUUUAGACAAAGUGGUUAAAAAAGAGGCUUUUUUUUUUCUAUGACCCAAUAUAAGAAAAAUAUUUUAGGCCAGACAUGAUGGCUCACACCUGUAAUCCCAACACUUUGGGAGGCCUAGGCAGGUGGAUCACCUGAGGUCAGGAGUUUGAUACCAGCCUGGCCAAUGUGGUGAAACCCCGUUUCUACUAAUAAUACAAAAUUUAGCCAGGCAUGGUGGCAUGUGCCUGUAGUCCCAGCUACCCAGGAGCCUGAGGGAGGAGAAUCGCUUGAACCUGGGAGGCAGAGGCUGCAGUGAACUGAGAUUGCACCACUGCACUCCAGCCUAGGCAAUAGAGUGAGACUCCAUGAAAGAAAGAAAGAGAGAGAGAGAGAGAAAAGAAAAGAAAGGAAAGAAAAGAAAGGAGGGAGGGAAGGAGGGAGGGGAAAGAAGGAAGGAAGGAAGGAAGGAAGGAAGGAAGGAAGGAAGGAAGGAAGGAAGGAAGGAAAGAAAGAAAAAUAUAUUUUACAUUGUGACCUGAGAAAAACUUUCAAGAAACAAUACUUACACUCUGACAUGUCAUGACGUGUCACACGCCACCUGUUCUGUUCUAUUCUAUUCUAUUCUAUUCUAUUCUAUUCUAUUCUAUUCUAUUCUAUUCUAUUGCAUUCUAUUGCAUUCUGUUCCAUUCCAUCCCAUUCUAUUCAAAUGCUGCUUGGCCCUCACUAAAUUGAUUUUAUGACCAACUAGUGAGUUUCAACCUGCAGUUUGAAAAAACAGUAGUUUAGACAAAUACAGUUUUCUCACACAAAAAUUAUAUGGAGCAAAGUGUGGGAUAGAAGAAAGAACAUUGGAUUUUGAGUGAAGACACCUGAUUUUCAGCAUGACUCAUUUACUUACUGACUGUGUGACCUUAGAUGUGCCCAUUAACCUUUGUGUGUCUCUUCUAUUACCUGUAAAAUUCAGAUAAUAGAUCAGCUGCAAAGGGAUCUUCUGGGGAUCAAAUGAGAUAAAAUGCAUGAAUGCAAAAAGCAUAAGCCUAAAAUAGUCCUGGUCAAAGUAAAAUUACCAUAAUCAAAGAAAGAGCAGAAUGGUGCAUGGUGUAUCCCAGUUGGCUCUGGGUCUGUCAUCUGAAUCCUAGAGCCACAUCUCUCCAGAACAUACUGAGAACCAGAAAUGGGAUCAAAAUAAUUUAACCAAUCAAAACAGGUGUUGCUGCUAUAUUUAUAAAAUUCACAAAAUUUACUGACACAGAAGCCCGUGUGAAAUCCCAUCAGAAUCAUUGUAGUCUUGUUCUAAUACUAUUGUAGCCAUGUUGAUUUUCUGAUCUAUAUCUAUGGACCUGUAUCAGAAGGACAUUCAAUAAAAUCCUAUUGGAAGAGGAGCUGAUAGAGGCAAGUAUUUUCGCUACAGUGUGACAUGACAGCAAACAGACUGCAGGGAAACAGCAAGAUGAAAUCAUUUAAUAUAGGCAAUAUGUAAACUUCAGCAGACCCUGGUGAUAUCACUGUAUUAAGGUAUAAUACAAUAACUGAUUUUUAUGGUUCAUUCAACAAACUACUGUGUUUGAGUACUCAAUAUAUGUACUAAUCUAGGUGCAAGGAAGACACAGAUAAACUGGGGAUGUUUCCUAACCCUAAAAAGUGAGCACACAGAUGAGUGAGACAGACACAUACACAGAUAAUUUCCACUAACAUGGUACAGUGAAGAAAAAUAUGCAUCUGAGCAUGAUAUGAUAUUAAUAUGUCAUGAGAGAAAAGAAGAAGAGCAGCUAGCCCAAAGUGGAAGUGGAAUUCAGGUAAUGCUUCUUGAAGGUCAUUUGCCCAAGAUGAGUCUUGAUGAAGAUAAAGAAAGAUGGGGAAACAAUUCAGAAUGAUGGAAUAGCCUGAGAAAGGCAUGAAAGUAUGAAACCUUGCAUAGUGUAGAUAAUAUUUCUAGAUCAUAAAAAAGACAAGUACAGGCUAUACUUAAGAGGUAGGUAUGGUCCUCAAUACUGAGAGUCUUCUAUACCAGGUUAAGAUGUGUAGAGGACAUCACAUUGACCAGAGGAAGCCACUAAUAGGGAUUGAUUACUCUGGAAGCCUUAUGGAGGAGGAAUUUAAAAAUGGAUUAGGCACGUAAGUUAGGGAACAAUUGCAGUGGUUCAGGAGAGACAUAUUGAGGGUAUGAAGGAGAGAAGCAGUAAUAUGGAUGAAGAAGAGGGGUUAUAUUUGAAAAAUAUUUUUGAUACUAUAUUUAGAUGUGAAGGCUGAGGCCAGGUAAUAAAUGCUCCACUUCAGGGACAAAAACAUGACCUAGACUCCCCAAUAGUAUUCACUUUCUUGAGUUCAUGAUUGAGUCUAGAGAAAUUAAUACAUCUCUACAAGGCAUUAUAGUAUGAGGUAGAAGAUGCUAAGUGUUGAAAGAAAGGCACAGACAUAUGGUUAUGGGAGUUAGAGGAAAGAGGCAUAAAUUCCAACUGAGAGUUUUAGGGAAGUCUUCCUGGAAGAAGAGGCAUGCAAGGCAGAUCUUGAAAGAUGGUUAAGAUUUUGCCAUGAGUUGAUGAGAAGAAAGUGCAUUUCUGAUAAAGGAAUAAUCUGAGAAGACAUAGGAUGAAAGAUGGUGUCAUUUUGAGCUAAAAACACAGGCUCUGGAGUCACACAAAGUUGGGACCAAACUUUGGCUCUGUCACAUUCUAAUCACAAAAUUGGGGAUAAUUUAAUUGACACUUCAGAGCCUCGGCUCCUCAUUUGUACGACAGUUAUGACUAUCAUUUAUCUUAUGGGAUUAUUGUGAGGAUUUUUUCCUAUUAAACUUGAUUUAUUGAUUACAAUGAAAUUGACUUACCUCCGAGUUUUAUACUUUCAUGUGUUUUUGUAUCACUAAUUUUUUAUUCAGCUUGGAGCAUUCUCUUUAGCAUUUCUUGUAAGACAGGUCUAAUGGUGAUGAACUCCCACAGCUUUUGUUUGUCUGAAAAAGUCCUUAUCUCUCCUUCAUUUCUGAAUGACUACCUUGCCAGAUAUAGUAUUCUUUGUUGGCUGUUGUUGUUGUUGUUUACCUUUAGUACUUUUUUUUCCUUCUCCUCUUUUAGGGAAUUUAUUUUAAACCUAUUAUACUACACAAUAUGUUUUAAACACUGACAUAUAACUUCCUAAUAAGAUAGAGCUAAGAUAGAGCAAAGACAAAAAAAGUUUAUCUUAUUGGAAACAAGAUACAGCAUCAUUUAUAGUCAUUGUCAAACAUUACUGCACUUUAACUUUCAUAAUUUGACAAAGCAUUCAUGAAACAAUCUGC